AGAAUCAACGCUGGCGGCGUGCCUAACACAUGCAAGUCGAACGCGAAAGUGGAGCAAUCCAUGAGUAGAGUGGCAAACGGGUGAGUAACGCGUGGGUGACCUGCCUUCGAGUGGGGGAUAACGCUCCGAAAGGGACGCUAAUACCGCAUAACAUCCUGCCUUUUAAGAGGUGGAAAUCAAAGCCUGGGACCGCAAGGCCAGGCGCUUGAAGAGGGGCCCGCGUCUGAUUAGCUAGUUGGUGGGGUAAUGGCUCACCAAGGCUUCGAUCAGUA
rnacentral:rRNA from 1 species